rnacentral:rRNA from 1 species
UGGCGGAUGCCUACACAUGCAGUCGAACGGUAGCACAGAGAGCUUGCUCUCGGGUGACGAGUGGCGGACGGGUGAGUAAUGUCUGGGAAACUGCCUGAUGGAGGGGGAUAACUACUGGAAACGGUAGCUAAUACCGCAUAACGUCGCAAGACCAAAGAGGGGGACCUUCGGGCCUCUUGCCAUCAGAUGUGCCCAGAUGGGAUUAGCUAGUAGGUGGGGUAACGGCUCACCUAGGCGACGAUCCCUAGCUGGUCUGAGAGGAUGACCAGCCACACUGGAACUGAGACACGGUCCAGACUCCUACGGGAGGCAGCAGUGGGGAAUAUUGCACAAUGGGCGCAAGCCUGAUGCAGCCAUGCCGCGUGUAUGAAGAAGGCCUUCGGGUUGUAAAGUACUUUCAGCGGGGAGGAAGGUGUUGUGGUUAAUAACCGCAGCAAUUGACGUUACCCGCAGAAGAAGCACCGGCUAACUCCGUGCCAGCAGCCGCGGUAAUACGGAGGGUGCAAGCGUUAAUCGGAAUUACUGGGCGUAAAGCGCACGCAGGCGGUCUGUCAAGUCGGAUGUGAAAUCCCCGGGCUCAACCUGGGAACUGCAUUCGAAACUGGCAGGCUGGAGUCUUGUAGAGGGGGGUAGAAUUCCAGGUGUAGCGGUGAAAUGCGUAGAGAUCUGGAGGAAUACCGGUGGCGAAGGCGGCCCCCUGGACAAAGACUGACGCUCAGGUGCGAAAGCGUGGGGAGCAAACAGGAUUAGAUACCCUGGUAGUCCACGCCGUAAACGAUGUCGAUUUGGAGGUUGUGCCCUUGAGGCGUGGCUUCCGGAGCUAACGCGUUAAAUCGACCGCCUGGGGAGUACGGCCGCAAGGUUAAAACUCAAAUGAAUUGACGGGGGCCCGCACAAGCGGUGGAGCAUGUGGUUUAAUUCGAUGCAACGCGAAGAACCUUACCUGGUCUUGACAUCCACAGAACUUACCAGAGAUGCUUUGGUGCCUUCGGGAACUGUGAGACAGGUGCUGCAUGGCUGUCGUCAGCUCGUGUUGUGAAAUGUUGGGUUAAGUCCCGCAACGAGCGCAACCCUUAUCCUUUGUUGCCAGCGGUUAGGCCGGGAACUCAAAGGAGACUGCCAGUGAUAAACUGGAAGAAAGGUGGGGGAUGACGUUCAAGU